rnacentral:rRNA from 1 species
UACGUAGGGGGCGAGCGUUGUCCGGAUUUACUGGGCGUAAAGGGUGAGUAGGCGGUUGUAUAUGUCAGGUGUAAAAGGCUAUGGCUUAACCAUGGUUAGCACUUGAAACUGUACAACUUGAGUACAGGAGAGGUAAGUGGAAUUCCUAGUGUAGCGGUGAAAUGCGUAGAUAUUAGGAGGAACACCAGUGGCGAAGGCGACUUACUGGACUGUAACUGACGCUGAGUCACGAAAGCGUGGGUAGCAAACAGGAUUAGAUACCCCCGUAGUCCCUGAG